rnacentral:rRNA from 1 species
UACAGAGGGCCCGAGCGUUGUUCGGAUUCACUGGGCGUAAAGGGUGCGCAGGUGGGUUGGCAAGUUUGAUGUGAAAGCCCCGGGCUUAACCCGGGAAUGGCAUUGAAUACUGCUGAUCUGGAGGAUCGGAGGGGGGACUGGAAUUCUUGGUGUAGCAGUGAAAUGCGUAGAUAUCGAGAGGAACACCAGUGGCGAAGGCGAGUCCCUGGACAAUACCUGACACUGAGGCACGAAAGCCGGGGGAGCAAACAGG